rnacentral:rRNA from 1 species
AUUGAACGCUGGCGACAGGCCUAACACAUGCAAGUCGAGCGGAUGAAGGGAGCUUGCUCCUGGAUUCAGCGGCGGACGGGUGAGUAAUGCCUAGGAAUCUGCCUGGUAGUGGGGGAUAACGUCCGGAGACGGGCGCUAAUACCGCAUACGUCCUGAGGGAGAAAGUGGGGGAUCUUCGGACCUCACGCUAUCAGAUGAGCCUAGGUCGGAUUAGCUAGUUGGUGGGGUAAAGGCCUACCAAGGCGACGAUCCGUAACUGGUCUGAGAGGAUGAUCAGUCACACUGGAACUGAGACACGGUCCAGACUCCUACGGGAGGCAGCAGUGGGGAAUAUUGGACAAUGGGCGAAAGCCUGAUCCAGCCAUGCCGCGUGUGUGAAGAAGGUCUUCGGAUUGUAAAGCACUUUAAGUUGGGAGGAAGGGCAGUAAGUUAAUACCUUGCUGUUUUGACGUUACCAACAGAAUAAGCACCGGCUAACUUCGUG